GCAUUUUGGUCAUCUAUAGGCCACUCAGCUUCUUCAAAGUUGAGUAGGAUUUAAAAAAAGCCUGACAUCUCCUAUAUUCCUCAGCAACGGUUUACGUACCUGCAUAGACAGAUGAAAAAGGUGUUGGAGAUGUAUUAAAAAACAUGUAUGUAUAUGAUGGAUAGGGAGAGAGAGAGCGAGCAAGAAUAUGAUAUAGAUUAAUGUCUCUCCAUAUUUUCCGAGUCUUUUUGUUUCAGGCCAUAGCGGUGGUGCAUUGGAAGGGUUCUGGAAUUUCAGAACACAAAGUAGCAGUUUUAAAUAAUGAGAGAAGAUUCCACAUGGAACGCUCAUCUGGCUGUGGCAGCCUGUGACUGAAUGAGAGAAAAGUGCCCUAGAAGCUAUUCAUUACGAAUUCACUGGAAGCUCUCAAACGAGGCUGGCAGAAGCUGAAAUUGAAGUGGUCUCUGACCUAAUUUUCUUCUGCAUGAAACAUCUGCAUCAAGGCUCUCUUUGAUGUAUUCCACUUGGCUCUGUCUACGGGAUUGUAUCACAUGGCCUCCGUGUUGCCUCCUUAUUGAAAGACAUUUCCAGCCUGUGCAAGGCAGGAUAAUCAAGGCAAGAAUGUUGGUGGCAAAAAAUAAGCUCAGAGUCUUGAGCAAGUCCAUCUUCAUAUGUUGUGAACUGGAACUUAACGACACUACAGGAACCAGGCAACUUGAUUUAUUUUGGAAGAGAAAAUGUCAGUAUAUUUUAUCAGAAUUUAUGGAGAAAAGACAAACAAAAUGUAGAUUGCUAACACCAAUCCCCAACAAAAAUAAAAUAAAAAGAAUCACAAUAAAGUUACUAUUAAUAAAAAUAUCUCACGUUUGUCUUCUUUAAUCCUCACAACAACCCUAUCAGGCAAGUACUACUUCUGUCGUCAUUUGUCAUAAGAGCAUAUCGAAGCUCAAAGUUCCUUGCCCAGAGCCACACACACUAGUGAGCAGCAGAGACAGCAUUUGAACAAAAGUCUUCCCAAUUUCCAAGUCUACAUUCUCCAGAAUCAUGCUAUAUUGCCUCUCUAAAAAGAGAAUUGAAAAAUUCUGGAAGAUCGUUCCUUUACAUGUAGCCAGUACAGUAUAUGGUAGGCACUGGUUGACUAUCUCUUGAAUGAAAAUGAACAAGUCAAAAAUCCACCUAGAAUUCUCUACUGGUUAAUUUUCAGAUUGCUUUUGUUCACAGAACAGACUUCCCAGGGGUCCUCGGGCCAAACUGGACAGCACCUCCUGAGAGUUUUUAAAGAAAAAUCUAGUCAUUGCCCAUAUUGGCCAUGAACAAGAUGCAAGUACAUUGCAUUUAUUGGUUCUGCAAACAUCUGAGGCAGCGCUGUUCAAGAGAGCUUUGUGUGAUUAUGGAAAUGUUCCCUAACUGCGCUUUCCAAUACAGGGAUAGCCACAUAUGGCUGUCCAGUACACGAAAUGUUUCCAG
rnacentral:lncRNA from 1 species